CUCAUGGGACAUAUUAUGUAUAUAAGCCUCUGCAAUGUUCUCUUGUUCUUGGUGCCCUUUUCUGCUUUAAAUAAAAUGUGAUGUAUUUAAAGAAGGUUCUUUACCUAGGAGCGAAUGAACAAUAGCUAAAUGUCCUGGUAUUUAAAGUGUAAAUUAUCUAUGGCUUUGCCAAAAUGAAGGAAGGGGGGGAGGCGGGCAAGAGAUGGCACUCCUCGGUCCCCACACACUCCACGCCUGACACGGGCUGGGAGCUGCUCAGACUCCUGUGAAGGCACAGCUAGACUUGUGGCCUGAAGGAGGCCCUGCUGGGACUGUGCACUCCGGCCCUUCUAGCCCCAGGGCCCACAGACGCUGGUCUUGAAAGAGCCUUGGCUGUGUAUAAAUGCAAAGCCCAGCUACCGAGGGAAUGGCAACCACUGGAUCCCUGGCCAAAUCUCUCUCGACCCUUUGUUUGCUACCCGUGUGUCCGAGGUCAAUGUGCAGACCCGCAGCCAAGGAGCUGGGAUGUUUAACAGAGGGAGAAGAGCUGGGGAACCGUAUAAAACAUGAAGAUUGUCUACUUUAAGAAAUAAAAUACCCUGAACGGAGCCAAACUCUG
rnacentral:lncRNA from 1 species